rnacentral:lncRNA from 1 species
UCCAUAUCUCUGUGCAGUCUUAGAGUAUUGAACACUCUCGGCAAUUUGAGGAGACAGAGAGGUAGUCAACCAGGAAAUGACCAUAUUAUUACAUCUGUCCCAUAAUUUAUGUUCAGCCAAGUUAGUGUUUGGUCUAUGACAAGUUCCAUCAACAAAACCAAUUUUGUUCUUAGCGGAUAGGGCAACUAUCAUCUUUCUCUUCCAACCCCCAUAGCCACUACCCGAGAAAGGAAUAGAAACAAGGGAAACACCGGGGACAUUAGAAGAGUAAACAAAGAGAUGACUUGUAGGGUCAAUAGGUGGGGGAUUAACAGGGUUCAUGUUUGCUAUCAGAAACAGAACAACAAAGAUGAGGAGAAAGUGAUACAAUAUCUAAGGACAUCAGAAGACUAAACAAAGAGAGGAUUUGUAAGGUCAAUAGGUGAGGGAUUAACAGGGUUCAUGUUUGCCAUCAGAAAU